rnacentral:piRNA from 1 species
UAGCCUUACAAUUUCUUUAGAAAUGACCAA